rnacentral:rRNA from 1 species
AGCGGCCCUAGUGGUGAUCGUUAUUAUUGGGCCUAAAGCGUCCGUAGCCGGCUCGGUAAAUCUCUGGGUAAAUCGAUAGGCUUAACCUAUCGAAUUCUGGGGAGACUGCCGGGCUUGGGAUCGGGAGAGGUCGGAGGUACUCCAGGGGUAGGGGUGAAAUCCUGUAAUCCUUGGGGGACCACCGGUGGCGAAGGCGUCCGACCAGAACGAGUCCGACGGUAAGGGACGAAGCCCUGGGGCGCAAACC